rnacentral:lncRNA from 1 species
UGUUCGUGUUGGAUUAUCAUGAUUUGCUUCUACCUUAUGUGAACAAAGUGAGAGAGUUGGAUAACACCAACUUAUAUGCAUCUCGAACACUAUUCUACCUCAGCGAUGAUAGCACAUUGAGGCCUGUUGCCAUUGAGUUGACAGUUCCACCAAAUAUCAACAAGCCACAAUGGAAGCAAGUCUUCACACCAGGCUAUGAUGCUACCUCAUGCUGGCUAUGGAGUCUUGCUAAGACUCAUGCUAUAUCUCAUGACGCCGGUUAUCACCAGCUUAUAUCCCAUUGGUAUUGAAAAACACUCAUUAAUUCAAAACACACAUAUUUAUAUGAUCUUCUUAUAUACGGAUUACUGAUGGAUAAAUUUAC